rnacentral:rRNA from 1 species
GUGCCAGCCGCCGCGGUAAUACGUAGGGCGCAAGCGUUGUCCGGAAUCAUUGGGCGUAAAGAGCUCGUAGGCGGCCUGUCGCGUCCGCUGUGAAAUCCCGGGGCUUAACCCCGGGCGUGCAGUGGAUACGGGCUGGCUGGAGGCAGGCAGGGGAGAACGGAAUUCCCGGUGUAGCGGUGAAAUGCGCAGAUAUCGGGAGGAACACCGGUGGCGAAGGCGGUUCUCUGGGCCUGUACUGACGCUGAGGAGCGAAAGCGUGGGGAGCGAACAGGAUUAGAUACCCCGGUAGUCC